UACGGGGGGAGCAAGCGUUGUCCGGAUUUACUGGGCGUAAAGGGCGUGCAGGCGGUCUGUUAAGUUCAGGGUGAAAGCUCCCGGCUCAACUGGGAGAGGUCCUUGGAUACUGGCAGACUUGAGGAGGGUAGAGGAGAGUGGAAUUCCCGGUGUAGUGGUGAUAUGCGUAGAUAUCGGGAGGAACACCAGUGGCGAAGGCGGCUCUCUGGGCCCUACCUGACGCUGAGACGCGAAAGCGUGGGGAGCGAACCGG
rnacentral:rRNA from 1 species